rnacentral:rRNA from 1 species
GUCCUCGCUGCGCGAGCCUGACGCAGCGACGCCGCGUGGGGGAUGAAGGUCUUCGGAUUGUAAACCCCUUUCGGGAGGGAAGAUGGAAUGGGGUAACCCAUUCGGACGGUACCUCCAGAAGCAGCCACGGCUAACUUCGUGCCAGCAGCCGCGGUAAUAAU